AGGACGAACGCUGGCGGCGUGCUUAACACAUGCAAGUCGAGCGACAGUGUUCUUCGGAACAUAUGGAGCGGCGAACGGGUGAGUAACACGUGGGCAACCUGCCCCUAGCUCUGGGAUAACUCCGGGAAACCGGGGCUAAUACCGGAUACGAUCUUCCAUGGCAUCUCGGAAGAUGGAAAGUUUUUCGGCUAGGGAUGGGCCCGCGGCCUAUCAGCUUGUUGGUGAGGUAACGGCCCACCAAGGCGACGACGGGUAGCCGGCCUGAGAGGGCGACCGGCCACGACUGGGACUGAGACACGGCCCAGACUCCUACGGGAGGCAGCAGUGGGGAAUAUGCGCAAUGGGCAAAGCCUGACGCAGCGACGCCGCGUGAGGGAUGAAGGCCUUCGGUUGUAAACCUCUUUCAGCAGGACGAAGCGAGGUGACGGUCUGCGAGAAGAAGCGACCGGCCAACUACGUGACCAGCAGCCGC
rnacentral:rRNA from 1 species